UAGCCUAGUGGUUAAGGCUUUGGAUCGCCAAUCCGGAGUCGGCGGGUUCGAUUCCCGGU
rfam:Aedes aegypti strain Liverpool supercont1.410 genomic scaffold, whole genome shotgun sequence.